UUUUUUGGUACUGGGAAAACUUCAAAAUGCAUCAUGUAGUCAGUCUCACUGAAUUUUCCUUUGGAGGAGGAGGUGGGGAGGGAACACAAUGGGGGCUGAUUUCUUCUGCUCUUUUUGCUAAUUACAUUGGCUAAGUGAUCUUCACAGAGGGUUGUCCUUGUGGCUUUUUGCUCUCCCUCUGCCCAUUUCAGGGUGGUGCCUGUGGUUUUCUGUAACUCUUGAACCUCUUUGGGUGGGAACAAAAACGUCCAUCAUGUAUAUCCUGUUACAUAGGUGUGUGUGUGUGUGUGUGUGUGUGUGUAUAUAUAUAUAUAUAUUUUUUUUUUCACCCCAGGCAAUUCUAAAUUCUGUCACGAUGCCUGAAAGAGGCAACCCCCUCCUGAGCACCAAGGGACCAGGGGUGAGAGGGUGGCAUCAGAUAAAGGCCACCAUCAAGGGACAGAUUGGAGCCAGAAUCUUGGAGGAAACGUUAUUAAUAAACAUCUUCUGGACGUUUGGUAGCCCGUGGAGCUUGCUCCAGCUUAAAGCAAUUAAUUCAGGACACUGACAUAAACUCUCCAGGUCUUUGACAGCUUGGAGCCGAAAUAAAAAUGCUAGUUCUCCGGGGAAGAGAGGAGGAUGGCUAGCUCUUUUCUGGACUGUUUGCUUAUAGGCCCAGCGAGCAACCUUCCUUGCAGAAUGAAAUGCAAGGGCACAAACAAUGUACCAGGGAGAGAAUAGAAGAUGAGAAU
rnacentral:lncRNA from 1 species